UCUCUCUCUCUCAUUGUGCCUCUCUCUGUGAAUCUGAAGCACGCCCCUCUCUCUCUCUCUCAUUGGAAGUCCGCCCCUCCCUCUGAAAUCUGAAGCAUGCCAUUUCAGGUCUAGACCUUUGAAGUACAUAGCAUGUCAUCAGUUUCCAUAAGUGUCGGAGGAUAUCAAUGGCGAACUUGUCCACGAUGCAAUUUACAAUGCAAAUUAAGUACAUCAAGCUCCCGAUCUAACCCUGGAGGAAUGUACUAUCGGUAUACAAAUUGUACACUUUUUCAAUAGUAAGAUGAAUAUAUGGAAGGGAUGAAUUACAAUAUAAACUUGAGACGUCGUGAUAUACACCAGAACAAUCAGUCGCAAGAAUCGCAAGAGUGUAUUACGGUCAAGCUUGAACCGAUAGUUAUUCAACAACAAAUUAUUGAUACUUUAAGGUGUAUGAAACCGUUUUUAGUUUUCUUGUGUGUAGAGAGGUCUUUUAUGUUUAUAUUACAAUUGUUGAAAAGUGUUUGAUACGACUAGAUAGUAUGUAACAAGUUUACUGUCAUCAGAUUUGAGUAUGUAAAUAGUUUCAACAUUGACUGUUGUAAAGGUUAUUUGCUUUUUGAGUAGUUUUUAA